rnacentral:RNase_P_RNA from 1 species
AUAGUCAGCCGUUCUAUCGCUCCGUGAAAUAUCGGGGAGGAAAGUCCGGGCAGCGCAGGACACCAUACUUCCUAACGGGAAGAUGCUCGUGAGGGCAUAGUAAUGGAACAGAAAAUAACCGCCACGCUUGCGUGGUAAGGGUGAAAAGGUGAGGUAAGAGCUCACCGGGUUCUGUAGCGAUACAGAAUGCCGUGCAUCUUAUGGGCUGCAAGACCGUGUAUAUUCCGAGUGCCAGUUUUCUGGCUAUAAGGUUGUCCGCCUUGUUGACGAGCAAUCGUCCGUCGGAAGGGGUAGGUCGCAGGAGGUUAUGGGUAACCAUAAUCCAAGAUAAAUGAUAGGAGCGAACUUUGUUCGAACAAAACCCGGCUUACAGGCUGACUAGAUUA